rnacentral:rRNA from 1 species
ACGAACGCUGGCGGCGUGCCUAAUACAUGCAAGUCGAACGCUUCUUUUUCCAUCGGAGCUUGCUCCACCGGAAAAAGAGGAGUGGCGAACGGGUGAGUAACACGUGGGUAACCUGCCCAUCAGAAGGGGAUAACACUUGGAAACAGGUGCUAAUACCGUAUAACAAUCGAAACCGCAUGGUUUUGAUUUGAAAGGCGCUUUCGGGUGUCGCUGAUGGAUGGACCCGCGGUGCAUUAGCUAGUUGGUGAGGUAACGGCUCACCAAGGCGACGAUGCAUAGCCGACCUGAGAGGGUGAUCGGCCACAUUGGGACUGAGACACGGCCCAAACUCCUACGGGAGGCAGCAGUAGGGAAUCUUCGGCAAUGGACGAAAGUCUGACCGAGCAACGCCGCGUGAGUGAAGAAGGUUUUCGGAUCGUAAAACUCUGUUGUUAGAGAAGAACAAGGAUGAGAGUAACUGUUCAUCCCUUGACGGUAUCUAACCAGAAAGCCACGGCUAACUACGUGCCAGCAGCCGCGGUAAUACGUAGGUGGCAAGCGUUGUCCGGAUUUAUUGGGCGUAAAGCGAGCGCAGGCGGUUUCUUAAGUCUGAUGUGAAAGCCCCCGGCUCAACCGGGGAGGGUCAUUGGAAACUGGGAGACUUGAGUGCAGAAGAGGAGAGUGGAAUUCCAUGUGUAGCGGUGAAAUGCGUAGAUAUAUGGAGGAACACCAGUGGCGAAGGCGGCUCUCUGGUCUGUAACUGACGCUGAGGCUCGAAAGCGUGGGGAGCAAACAGGAUUAGAUACCCUGGUAGUCCACGCCGUAAACGAUGAGUGCUAAGUGUUGGAGGGUUUCCGCCCUUCAGUGCUGCAGCUAACGCAUUAAGCACUCCGCCUGGGGAGUACGACCGCAAGGUUGAAACUCAAAGGAAUUGACGGGGGCCCGCACAAGCGGUGGAGCAUGUGGUUUAAUUCGAAGCAACGCGAAGAACCUUAGCAGGUCUUGACAUCCUUUGACCACUCUAGAGAUAGAGCUUCCCCUUCGGGGGCAAAGUGACAGGUGGUGCAUGGUUGUCGUCAGCUCGUGUCGUGAGAUGUUGGGUUAAGUCCCGCAACGAGCGCAACCCUUAUUGUUAGUUGCCAUCAUUUAGUUGGGCACUCUAGCAAGACUGCCGGUGACAAACCGGAGGAAGGUGGGGAUGACGUCAAAUCAUCAUGCCCCUUAUGACCUGGGCUACACACGUGCUACAAUGGGAAGUACAACGAGUCGCAAAGUCGCGAGGCUAAGCUAAUCUCUUAAAGCUUCUCUCAGUUCGGAUUGUAGGCUGCAACUCGCCUACAUGAAGCCGGAAUCGCUAGUAAUCGCGGAUCAGCACGCCGCGGUGAAUACGUUCCCGGGCCUUGUACACACCGCCCGUCACACCACGAGAGUUUGUAACACCCGAAGUCGGUGAGGUAACCUUUUGGAGCCAGCCGCCUAAGGUGGGAUAGAUGAUUGGGGUG